AUGUGUGUCCCUAAGAAUCAAGGAGGGAUGGUUUUUCGUGAUAUUCAUUGUUUGAACUUGGUAAUGCUCGCCAAACAGGCGUGGCGCCUUCUUGAGAAUCCUGAUUCCUUAUGUGCUACAAUUAUGAGAGCUAAGUACUAUUCUGAUGGCGAUUUGUUGAACACUAAGUUAAAGAAGGGAUCUUCUUUUAACUGGCAAAGUAUUAUGGCAGGCGUGUACUCUCUAAAACAUGGUUAUAUUUGGCGGGUGGAGAAUGCCGGAAUAUCAGUUUUUGGGAAGACCCUUGGAUUCUAA
rnacentral:rRNA from 1 species